rnacentral:rRNA from 1 species
AUUGAACGCUGGCGGCAGGCCUAACACAUGCAAGUCGAGCGAGCGGCGGACGGGUGAGUAAUGUCUAGGAAACUGCCUGUUGGAGGGGGAUAACUACUGGAAACGGUAGCUAAUACCGCAUACCAUCAGAUGUGCCCAGAUGGGAUUAGCUAGUAGGUGGGGUAACGGCUCACCUAGGCGACGAUCCCUAGCUGGUCUGAGAGGAUGACCAGCCACACUGGAACGGAGACACGGUCCAGACUCCUACGGGAGGCAGCAGUAGGGAAUCUUGCGCAAUGGACGAAAGUCUGAGGGAGCCAUGCCGCGUGAGUGAAGAAGGUCUUCGGAUCGUAAAGCUCUUUUAUCGGGGAGGCGUUACCCAACGAGGAAGCACCGGCUAACUCCGUGCCAGCAGCCGCGGUAAUUC